rnacentral:piRNA from 1 species
CAGAAAGAAGUUGAGGUUC